rnacentral:rRNA from 1 species
GAUUAACGCUAGCGGCAGGCAUAAUACAUGCAAGUUGAACGGCAACACAGGUAGCAUUACUGGGUGGCGAGUGGCGCACGGGUGCGUAACACGUAUGCAACCUACCCUAUACAGGCGAAUAACCUUUAGAAAUGAGGGCUAAUACGCCGUAGUAUUACAUAUUGGAUUCUAUUUGUUAUUAAAGAUUUAUCGGUAUAGAAUGGGCCUGCGUCCCAUUAGUUAGUUGGUAAGGUAACGGCUUCCCAAGACGUGGCUGGGUAGGGGAUCUGAGAGGACUUACCCCCACACGGGUACUGGGCAACGUACCAGACACCUACGGGAGGCAGCAGUAAGGAAGGUUGGGCUAUGGCCUCGAGGCUGACCGAGCCAUGCCGCGUGCAGGAAGACGGCCUUAUGGGUGGUAAACUUCUGUUAGAAGGGAAUAAUAGAGUGUACGCGUACAUGUAUGCAAGUAACGGAUAAAGAAGCACCGGCUAACUACGUG